CCGUGCCAAAUCUCCCGUUUCGUUUGGAAAAUAUCGCUGCCACUUAUCAAAGGCCAUUGGACCUAAUUCUUUCAAGUGGUCUUCCGGGCUUAUACGCCACAUCUAUGUUGACUUUGGACCCAGAGGAUUCUAUGAGCUGAGUCCUAACAGUGAGCCAGUAAUUGGACACCUAACUUUUGAGCGCUUGCUGGGUGAUUUAUUCCAAACUGGAACAAUAGUGAAUCCUACGACCAAUGAACUAAUCUGGCAAAAAAUUAAUGACUUCUCG